rnacentral:rRNA from 1 species
UGGGGAAUAUUGGACAAUGGACCAAGAGUCUGAUCCAGCAAUUCUGUGUGCACGAUGACGUUUUUCGGAAUGUAAAGUGCUUUCAGUUGGGAAGAAAAAAAUGACGGUACCAACAGAAGAAGUGACGGCUAAAUACGUGCCAGCAGCCGCGGUAAUACGUAUGUCACAAGCGUUAUCCGGAUUUAUUGGGCGUAAAGCGCGUCUAGGUGGUUAUGUAAGUCUGAUGUGAAAAUGCAGGGCUCAACUCUGUAUUGCGUUGGAAACUGUGUAACUAGAGUACUGGAGAGGUAAGCGGAACUACAAGUGUAGAGGUGAAAUUCGUAGAUAUUUGUAGGAAUGCCGAUGGGGAAGCCAGCUUACUGGACAGAUACUGACGCUGAAGCGCGAAAGCGUGGGUAGCAAACAGGAUUAGAUACCCUGGUAGUCCACGCCGUAAACGAUGAUUACUAGGUGUUGGGGGUCGAACCUCAGCGCCCAAGCAAACGCGAUAAGUAAUCCGCCUGGGGAGUACGUACGCAGGUAUG